rnacentral:lncRNA from 1 species
AGAGUCACCUCAGUGGAGAAGCCUGCACAGGGCUUUGAUGGCUGAGUUUCCCCAGAUGUGGCCUUAGAGAAGCUGAGGAACCCCCUACUUACCUCCAUUUGUCCCCAUCCAUCACUCCCAGGGGGCCACUGCCUGAUGAAUUGCCAGAGGGGAACCACCAGCUCGGCUCUUAAUAACCGGAUCUGCAUCCUGCUGCUGCCCAGCUGGGCUGAGGGCCCUGACCACAGCUAAGGGGAGUCAUCACAGGGCUUCAGGGCUGGAAUUCCAGGUUUCUGCAAGAAUGACGGGCAGCAUGAUGCUCAGCUGCAUGUGGAGGCACUGAGGCUGGACGAACCCUUGGGACGGGCAGCCCAGCGGGUGGGUGAGGCCAUCUUCCCCAUCUACCCGAGGCCAGACCAACCCCGCAUGAACCCAAAGGCUCAGGAUCACGAGGACCUGUACCGCUACUGUGGCAACCUGGCUCUGCUCCGGGCUAGCACGGACCCCACAGCCCGACACUGUGGGAGCCUGGCCUACAGUGUGGCCUUCCACGUCCACCGGGGCCCUCAGCCUCCAGUCUCAGACAGCCCUCCCAGGGCUGGCCAGCCAGAACUGAUGUCACCAUGCCCAGAGCCCCAGCUCCCCAUACUGCAGAACUGAUGAUGGUCAUGGGGGGCAGUGGAGCAGGGGCAGGAGAGCAGGAUGAGCAGGAAUGCAAUAAUCAAGAUGAUCCAGAAUGAGAAGGAAGCGGAAGACAAGGCUCAGUGUGAGACCAGGGUCAGAGCUCAGCAAACUUCCACGACUGGCUUUGAAUCAGAAUCAUUUUGCUUCUCAGCCACGGCCCCUGGGUUACACAGCCUUAAAUGGCCCUGCCAAUGCUGGUCACAGCAUUCCCUAGUCCUGGAGACUCGGGAACUAAAACAAUCAAUUCCCCUGAGCAAUAAAAUUAUGGACAGUGAACACCUUCGCUUCUCCAGUCCCCAAGCUUCCUGCUCUGUGUGGGUGGGGAGGUGAUGGUGGGAGGGACUGUCCUCCAUGAAUAUUUCCAGCAUGCACAAUCACAGCUCCAAGAUAGAGGUCACUCCCUGAGCCCUUGACCCAAGGAUGGGGAUGCUGGGAGCAUGCAGGCAGGGGCUG